CGGGAGGGGCAAGCGUUAUCCGGCAUAACUGGGCGUAAAGUGUUCGUAGACUGUAAAAUAAGUUACUUGUUAAAAUUAAAGCCUAACUUUAAACCAGCUUGUAAUACUAUUUUACUUGAGUUUUAUACAGAAGAGUAGAAUUUUACAUGGAAGGGUGAAAUCUAUAGAUAUGUAAAGGAAUAACCAAAAGACGAAGGCAACUCUUUAGUAAAAAACUGACGUUGAGGAACGAAAGUAUGGGGAGCAAACAGGAUU
rnacentral:rRNA from 1 species